rnacentral:rRNA from 1 species
UACGGAGGGGGCAAGCGUUGUUCGGAGUCACUGGGCGUAAAGGGCGCGUAGGCGGUGCAUCAAGUCAGGCGUGAAAGCCCCGGGCUUAACCUGGGAAUUGCGCUUGAUACUGAUGCGCUAGAGAGCGGGAGAGGAUGGCGGAAUUCCCAGUGUAGAGGUGAAAUUCGUAGAUAUUGGGAAGAACACCGGUGGCGAAGGCGGCUCACUGGCCCGGUACUGACGCUGAGGUGCGAAAGCGUGGGGAGCAAACAGG